AACGAACGCUGGCGGCAGGCCUAACACAUGCAAGUCGAGCGAGGACUUCGGUCCUAGCGGCGGACGGGUGAGUAACGCGUGGGAACGUGCCCUUUGCUUCGGAAUAGCCCUGGGAAACCGGGAGUAAUACCGGAUGAGCCCUUUGGGGGAAAGAUUUAUCGGCGAAGGAUCGGCCCGCGUUGGAUUAGGUAGUUGGUGGGGUAAUGGCCUACCAAGCCGACGAUCCAUAGCUGGUUUGAGAGGAUGAUCAGCCACACUGGGACUGAGACACGGCCCAGACUCCUACGGGAGGCAGCAGUGGGGAAUCUUAGACAAUGGGGGAAACCCUGAUCUAGCCAUGCCGCGUGAGCGAUGAAGGCCUUAGGGUUGUAAAGCUCUUUCAGCUGGGAAGAUAAUGACGGUACCAGCAGAAGAAGCCCCGGCUAACUCCGUG
rnacentral:rRNA from 1 species